AGCCCGUCUAGACCUUGGGCAGCUACUAGCUCCUUUAAGUCUUGCAACUGUGUUGUCUCCAUUUUAUUGAUGGAGAGACUGGGGCAUGUCAAGUAACUUGCCCAAAGUACAGGGCUGCCACUCACCUCUCUAGAAAGCAAAACGGGACACAAGGAGGGGACUUUUUCAGUCCUGAGGUUGGGGUGAUCUGCUCUUGCCUUCUUUUGGUGCUCAAAGCGACAACAUCCUCUCGACCCCUCAUCUCACAAGAAUGGAAGCAUGACCUUCAAGACUAAUCCUGUUGCCUCACCGUGGCACAUACAGAAAAUGACCUUGUUACUGCAGCCCGCAAUAGCUGCGGAACGGGGAGAGGUGUGUAGGCUUUAAUGUUGGGCUUUUUUGUUGUUGUUCUAUAAUUCCAAGAGAAACAAAACAAUCACGUGUCCUAGAAGACUGACUUGGAAUACAAAUUCCAAAUAC